AUCUUUUGGUCUAAUAUUAAUUUUACUAUGUUCAAAACACAAAUGUUGUCGGAAUUGUAAAAUGGUUGAUAAUCUUAUAAAUGGUGUAGAUUUUGAAGUAAUUACUACAAAUAGAACAAAAGUUACCGCUUUUACAUCAAUUGUUGUGGGUUGUGGUAAAAUGUGUAGUCAUUUUAGUAAUCAUUUCAUUGAUGAUAAAAACAUAAAGAUUUAUGUGAGCCCCGGAAAAAUGUAUCGAGCUUAAUGGAGAAAUUUUCAUAAAGUGAAAACCUCAAUUUGAGGGUUGGAUGAUAAAGUACACGACACGACGAGUUCGUGGAAAUUUUCGGGGAAUUUUUCGGAUACCCGAAGUAUUUAUAAUGAAUUUUCGAAGUUUGGGAAUUAUGGAAAUCCAUUUAAAUAAAAAGAAUUUCUGUGGUGCAAUCCUAGUCGUUGAUCUCACCACCGUUUCAUCCCAGCCAUCCACCGCCUCCACCUCUUGAUCCUAGCCCUCCAUUGUUGAUUGAACAAAUCUAUAUAGGGGUGUUUGAUCAGAUGAAGGAUGAAGAUCACCCCAGAAAACACGAGAGAGAGAGGGAUAGAGCUCGGUGCUCUGACCCGAGACGCGCACGACCCGAGAGAGAGACCUGACCGGAACUUCCACGUCCGGCCACCCCACGACGGCGCACAGGCACUCACAUCUUCGUCUCUGCGUCGCCUACCUCCCUGCAUCCUCAGAUUGUCCAUGCACUAAACGGAGAAGGAAACCCGACGACGAGAAGCCCGAAGCUUCACCGGCAACCUCUGCAAUUUCCGGCAACCGAUUAAGCUAUAUCUGGUAUGGAAACUCAUCCUCAUGCCAAUCUCUAUGUGUUAGGCUAAUUGGUUUUCAAAAUAGAUGGAGUUUUGUCGACUUGGUUUCUGGGUUCAUCUUGUGUCCGGCGUUGUUCUUCGAUGCCGAUGACUUCUCUAGCUUCUCUUGGUCCACUCUCCACCUCAUUUCCACUUGUUGAUGCUUAAUGUUCUAGACUGAAGCUAAUUUUCAGAAACUGCUAGCUGGUGUGUUGGAUUCCCAGUUCGUCAUCAUCUUUGUUCAACCGAGCUUGCUUGGAGUAGUUUUUGAAGUUACCCGAGGAACGGAAUGUCGCGAAUCUCGGAAUACGUGAGAGAAAGCAUCUAAAUCCAGGUAGGGAUUCAAGACUCUCCUCGGUUAGUGGUUUUCUUAUAUUUUAUUGAAGCGAUGCAUGUUAAGUGGUAUGGUUUGGUUAUGUUAAAAUGCAAUGCAUACUAACCAAAUCGUGAGAAAUGUGAUGGCUUGAGAGCGAAAUGGGCACUGACUUCCUUGGGUUCGAUUCCCUAAACCUCCGGAGGGUUAGCUAUGCCGGUUGUCCGAGUAUCCGCAAUCACGGACUCAGUACGUGUGUGUAGCUAGGUAGUGGACGCUCUCGCUACGCUUACCUGGUGAUAAAUUAAUUUGAGGUAAGGUCGUGUACUGGGUCUAUGGGACCGGCCAUCAGGUAAUACUUGGAUUUGGCGCCGCCGUAUUUAUUUAAGCAUCAUGCAUCGGUUUUCACGUUGAAAAACAUUAAAGUUUGUCGUUCCUUUAAAUAUUUGGUUUAAGCAUGUUUUCAUACUGGAGCUCCAAACAUUUAUCUGUUGAUUUUUAAACCUAGUCGAGUUAGAGUUCCUGUUGAGCAGCGAGGACGAAAGCUCACCCCUACAAAAGUAUGGAUGUAGGUAUUGUGCACUGAUAACGGGACAAUAGAGGACGGAGCUGGGUGUGCAGAACAAAUUCGGUAAAUUAGCUUUCUAUUCCUUGAACUUCGUUUUCCGAGACUUGUGAACAAUCAACUGUGUGCCAAAUCGAGUCACACUCUUGUUUCUUUGAAGUUCGUACCAUCUGUGUGAACACUAAUUCCAAGCUUUAGUUGAAUUCUUCUUCAUUGGGAUUCGUACCUCAUGUUAGCCUUUAUUCAAGUGCUGGACAAAUGAAAUAGAUUUCAGCAACUCAAGUUUUUCACCUCAAAAAUAUUUGUAGCUUCCGCUAUGUUUAUACAAAAAGUUUUCAAACAAAAUGCCUAGCGGUUAUCUAGAAUGUAAAUCGAGCGUUCGGUUUAUGUUUUAAAGACUCGCGGCACUGUAACGUGCUUAAGCUGGUGAAGUGCAGCUUGGGGCGUUACAAUUUACCAUUGUGACAAUAAAUUUGUUGUCACAGUUGUUAAAUUGUCUAUAAACUAGUACAUUAGUUUAGGUAGAAUAAUUACUAUAAAUAGCACAAAAAUUACCGUUUUAUAUCAAUUGCCGUGGAUUGUGGUAAAAUGCAUAGUCAUUGAAGUAAUCAUUUUAUUAAUGAUAAAAACAUAAAGAUUUACCAGUCUGACAACAAAUUGGUAGGGCUGGGCUCAGUUCGGUACCGGAGCUUACGGGCCGAUACCAUGUACCGUACCAACUUAUACUGGUAUGCAAAUAAUCAUACCACUACAGGCCACAAGAUCCGGUAUACCGAGAAGUCGGUAUACCGAUUUAAUCGGUCGGUUCGGUACAGUUGGGCUUGUAACCGAGUUUGACAUUGGGCCGCAAACCAGUCACCAAUAUCUCAUUUUCUUGAUUUGUUUGAGCUUCUUGAUUUGGUACAAAUCUCAUUUUCUCGUGAUAUCCAAAUUUAUUCUACCACAAUCAAAAGGAUUCAAAUUUGCUCACAAUUUUUAUUUUGUGGUGAUAUCACCAACCUAUUAAAACUUGUCACGACAUGUAUAAUUAAUUUAAUACUUAAAAUUUAUUUUUUUAAUAAAACAUCAUAAUUAACUAUAAUUAUAUUUUAUAACAUGCAUAUGACAGUUUUAUAUUGAAUGAUGGUAUCACCACCAAAGUAUUGGUGGUGAGCAAAUUUGAAUCUCAAUCAAAAGGAAACGGAUCCUAUUAUUUUAUUUAUAUAAUAUAUAUAUAUAUAUAUAUAUUUUGGGUGGUCUUACGGUCUUACCCACUUAUGCCAGUCCCUUCAUUAUCUUCCUCAGCACCCAAUUGCAAGACUGCGUUUUUUGAACCUUCUUGACCUUUGAAACUUAGAUUCAGAAUGUUACGAUCGAGUUUGUUGGAUUUUGCCAUUUUGGAGAGAGGCCAAAUGGGUCUUCAAGAAUAUGGGUCUGUUUUCUUCUUUCACCACAUACAAAACAGAAGAGGAUUGAAGCUUAGAUGAAGAAGAAGAGCGAAAUGGAGGGCCCAUUUUGGGAGGGAUUUUCAGGCGAGAAAUUGGCAAGCUCCGGCAGGGAUUUGGUGAGAAAAGAGAGAGUGAUUCAGAAGACAUAGAAGCUGUUGUGGACCAAAAGAAGACUGUGAAUCAGAGCAAGAAGAGAACUGGGUGGAUGGUGAAAAACUAAUGAGGGCUUCAAAAAGUCAAGCACGUGACUAGCACGCUGUCAGUGCUCAUGCACUGACGGUACACAGAUUUCACUUCGGGCAACACGUUGGAAAUGCCCAAAAUCGAUCACCAGAAGCUCAAACUCAUCUUUUAGGUACAGCAGUAUUAAAUACGAGGAUCUUCCCAAAAACUGGGACUGGAGGACAAAAGGAGCUGCCACUAAGGUUAAGCACCAAGGAUCAGAGUGUGGUUGUUGUUGGGCUUUUUCAACAGCAGCGGCAGUGGAAGCGCUUCCCCCAAUCUUUAAAAAUCUGACACGUGGACCUGUCCGUGCAGCAACUUAUAGAAUGCAAUAAAAACUUUGGUACCCAUGGCUGCACCAGUGGUAAAACAAUUAACACCUUGCAAUACGUAAAGGAAUAUGGGCUUGUAACUGAAGAUAGAUACCCUUACCAGCAGUUGGAUGAUCACCCAUGUGACACCAAAUUACAGUCAAAUCCUGAUGUAAUGAUACACGACUAUCAUGCAGGCCACCAGCAGGGAAUUUUAUAUGUAUGCAGGUGGUGUCUUCACAGAUUCAACUGGGGUGUGCACGAAAAAUAAAGUGAGCCACAUUAGUCUACGCAUUGGGUACGGGAUGACCCCAGAUGGUCUCGAUUAUUGGCUAUUAAAGAAUUCAUGGGGCCAGGGCCGGUCCUGAGAUUUUGGAGGCCUGGAGCGAAAAUUAUAACAAGAUUUACUAAAAUUAUAACAAGGCUUACUAAUUGUGUAUCCAUCAAAACACUAUG